UUGACCUCGGAUCAGGUAGGAAUACCCGCUGAACUUAAGCAUAUCAAUAAGCGGAGGAAAAUCCCCCCCCCCCC
rnacentral:rRNA from 1 species